UACGUAGGGUGCGAGCGUUUGUCCGGAAUUAUUGGGCGUAAAGAGCUCGUAGGCGGUUUGUCGCGUCUGCUGUGAAAACCUAGGGCUUAACCCUGGGCCUGCAGUGGGUACGGGCAGACUAGAGUGCGGUAGGGGAGACUGGAAUUCCUGGUGUAGCGGUGAAAUGCGCAGAUAUCAGGAGGAACACCGGUGGCGAAGGCGGGUCUCUGGGCCGUAACUGACGCUGAGGAGCGAAAGCAUGGGGAGCGAACAGG
rnacentral:rRNA from 1 species